rnacentral:rRNA from 1 species
GCAACAGCGAUAAGGGAACCUCGAGUGCCAGGUUACAAAUCUGGCUGUCGAGAUGCCUAAAAAGCAUUUCAUAGCAAGGGCCGGGCAAGACCGGUGCCAGCCGCCGCGGUAACACCGGCGGCUCGAGUGGUAACCGUUAUUAUUGGGUCUAAAGGGUCUGUAGCCGGCCGGAUAAGUCUCUUGAGAAAUCUGGCAGCUUAACUGUCAGGCUUUCAGGAGAUACUGUCUGGCUCGAGGCCGGGAGAGGUGAGAGGUACUUCAGGGGUAGGGGUGAAAUCUUGUAAUCCUUGAAGGACCACCAGUGGCGAAGGCGUCUCACCAGAACGGACCUGACGGCAAGGGACGAAAGCUAGGGGCACGAACCGGAUUAGAUACCCGGGUAGUCCUAGCCGUAAACGAUACUCGCUAGGUGUCGGCCACGGUGCGACCGUUGUCGGUGCCGUAGGGAAGCCG